GCCGAAAUAGCUCAGUUGGGAGAGCAUUAGACUGAAGAUCUAGUCCUCCCUGGUUCAAUCCUGGGUUUCGCA
rnacentral:tRNA from 1 species